AUUGCCUCAGUAACGGCGAGUGAAGCGGCAACAGCUCAAAUUUGAAAUCUGGCCCGCAGGGUCCGAGUUGUAAUUUGCAGAGGAUGCUUCUGGCGCGGCGCCUACCAAGUCCCCUGGAACGGGGCGCCACAGAGGGUGAGAGCCCCGUCGGGUGGGUCGCCAAGCCUGUGUGAAGCUCCUUCGACGAGUCGAGUAGUUUGGGAAUGCUGCUCUAAAUGGGAGGUAGACCCCUUCUAAAGCUAAAUAUUGGCCAGAGACCGAUAGCGCACAAGUAGAGUGAUCGAAAGAUGAAAAGCACUUUGAAAAGAGGGUUAAACAGUACGUGAAAUUGUUGAAAGGGAAGCGCUUGUGACCAGACGUGUGCCGGGUGCUCAGCGGGCGUUCUCGCCCGUGUAUUCGCCCCGGCGCAGGCCAGCGUCGGUUCGGACGGGGGGACAAAGGCGACAGGAACGUGGCUCCCCCGGGAGUGUUAUAGCCUGGCGUGUCAUGCCCCCGCCCGGACCGAGGUACGCGCUCCGCAAGGACGCUGGCGUAAUGGUCUCCAGCGGCCCGUCUUGAAACACGGACCAAGGAGUCGAGGUUUUGCGCGAGUGUUUGGGUGUCAAACCCGCACGCGUAAUGAAAGUGAACGCUGGUGGGAGCUUCGGCGCACCACCGACCGAUCCUGAUGUUCUCGGAUGGAUUUGAGUAGGAGCGUAGGGCCUCGGACCCGAAAGAUGGUGAACUAUACUUGGAUAGGGUGAAGCCAGAGGAAACUCUGGUGGAGGCUCGCAGCGGUUCUGACGUGCAAAUCGAUCGUCAAAUCUGAGUAUGGGGGCGAAAGACUAAUCGAACCAUCUAGUAGCUGGUUACCGC
rnacentral:rRNA from 1 species